rnacentral:rRNA from 1 species
CCUACGGGUGGCAGCAGUGGGGAAUAUUGCACAAUGGGGGAAACCCUGAUGCAGCGACGCCGCGUGAAGGAAGAAGUAUUUCGGUAUGUAAACUUCUAUCAGCAGGGAAGAAAAUGAUGAUACCUGACUACGAAGCACCGGCUAACUACGAGCCAGCAGCCGCGGUAAUACGUAGGGGGCAAGCGGUAUCCGGAUUUACUGGGUGUAAAGGGAGCGUAGGCGGCGAUGCAAGUCAGAAGUGAAAGCCCGGGGCUUAACCCCGGGACUGCUUUUGAAACUGUAGAUCUAGAUUGCAGGAGAGGUAAGCGGAAUUCCUAGUGUAGCGGUGAAAUGCGUAGAUAUGAGGAGGAACACCAGUGGCGAAGGCGGCUUGCUGGACUGUAAAUGACGCUGAGGCUCGAAAGCGUGGGGAGCAAACAGGAUUAGAUACCCCGGUAGUC